AGUGACAUGGAAGAGGAACAGCUCCGUCCAAUUACCCAGCUUGACCUUCUGCUUGCCCUAGAAAAGAUGAAAGAGUCCAAGGAAGUGGAAACAGCCAUGCCAACUCUGAAAGAACUUGCUUUAGACUGAACUUCUGGCCUAAGACACUCACUAAUGAACAAGCAGCAAAGAAUUGAGAGAGAUUUUUAAUUGUAUGGCCAUGCCAGCAUCUCUAGAGCCUUGUUUUUUCAGUACCACUCAUUUUGAGAAGCGACAGCAAAAGCAGAUAAACCCUUCUGCAGUUUUGUCUUUAAGCUGUAAGAGAUUAUAAAUAAAGCAUUCAAAUGCUUAAA